rnacentral:rRNA from 1 species
AUUGAACGCUGGCGGCAGGCCUAACACAUGCAAGUCGAGCGGAAGAAGGGAGCUUGCUCCUGGAUUCAGCGGCGGACGGGUGAGUAAUGCCUAGGAAUCUGCCUGGUAGUGGCGGAUAACGUCCGGAAACGGGCGCUAAUACCGCAUACGUCCUGAGGGAGAAAGUGGGGGAUCUUCGGAUCUCUCGCUAUCAGAUGAGCCUAGGUCGGAUUAGCUAGUUGGUGGGGUAAAGGCCUACCAAGGCGACGAUCCGUAACUGGUCUGAGAGGAUGAUCAGUCACACUGGAACUGAGACACGGUCCAGGCUCCUACGGGAGGCAGCAGUGGGGAAUAUUGGACGAUGGGCGAAAGCCUGAUCCAGCCAUGCCGCGUGUGUGAAGAAGGUCUUCGGAUUGGAAAGCACUUUAAGUUGGGAGGAAGGGCAGUAAGUUAAUACCUUGCUGUUUUGACGUUACCAACAGAAUAAGCACCGGCUAACUUCGUG